GAUGAACGCUGGCGGCGUGCCUAAUACAUGCAAGUCGAGCGAACAGACGAGGAGCUUGCUCCUCUGACGUUAGCGGCGGACGGGUGAGUAACACGUGUAUAACCUACCUAUAAGACUGGGAUAACUUCGGGAAACCGGAGCUAAUACCGGAUAAUAUAUUGAACCGCAUGGUUCAAUAGUGAAAGACGGUUUUGCUGUCACUUAUAGAUGGAUCCGCGCCGCAUUAGCUAGUUGGUAAGGUAACGGCUUACCAAGGCAACGAUGCGUAGCCGACCUGAGAGGGUGAGCGGCCACACUGGAACUGAGACACGGUCCAGACUCCUACGGGAGGCAGCAGUAGGGAAUCUUCCGCAAUGGGCGAAAGCCUGACGGAGCAACGCCGCGUGAGUGAUGAAGGUCUUCGGAUCGUAAAACUCUGUUAUUAGGGAAGAACAAAUGUGUAAGUAACUAUGCACGUCUUGACGGUACCUAAUCAGAAAGCCACGGCUAACUACGUG
rnacentral:rRNA from 1 species